AAAAUAUUACAUGGUUGUUACAAAAAUUGAAACAUUAAACACUGACGUUAGAAAGUCCCUUGUAAUCCCACACCCUGAAGAUCAUGAGCAAUAAUUCAGCCUAUGACCAUAACACAAUUAUCUUCAUUUUACUGAAUACCUUCCAUAUGCAAGUAUAGUAUUACCAAGUUGCCAUGGUAGUGUAUCUACUAUAUGGUUUGGUUUGGUUUUGGCUUUUUUCCUCCCUAUACUAUAUAAAGUAAGAAUGUAGGAAAUUAACUUAUUUUAUGGUCAUUUGAAUUGUCCAUUGUUAGCAUAUCCAGUGGGUUAAAGAUGCUAUAGCCAUUGUGUCUGAGAUUUGUUCACGCCAUUUUUUCACUCACUGGUUACAUCUGGGAGCCAGGAGUCCUCUCUAAGGUUUGGCUUUCCAGUGUCUUCUCCCCUGCAUUCCAACUUUCUCAAAGCCUGAGCCCCAGAGGACCUCCCAGGAAGUAAGUAAACAGUCCCUUCCCCCACCUUUACCAACUUCCCAAGCUUUUCAGAAAUCAAAAGUACAAAUUCAGGCCUCUGACCUAGCAGGAUGUGGCUCCACAUAUUUUAUUUCAGUCUUUAUUUUUUAAUGUGGAAAAGUAAUUCAAGAAAGUUUCAGGUUAAUGCUUCAAGACAUCAUGUACUUAGAUACAGGAUUUGCUCUUAACAAAGUAGUAUAACAAGAGGGGCAAUUUUUUCUAGAAUAUCCAUUUUAUGUCCAAGUCAUGCAUUACAGCCAUUUUGACAACCAGGAUUAGGUAUGAUCAUAAUGCGGUGUAAACAUGUAUUUUAAGUUCUAACAUCUUUUUCAUGCAUUGGAUAAAUCUCAAGAGUGAAGAAUAAGUCACCAAAACACAUCUAUAUACCAGUAAGAAAAUAAUUAUUAACAACAGAGUAAAGAAUAGUUAAUUCUGUAAAACUGUUGCUCAAAUAAUUAUUCCUGAUAUUGGCAUACAGCUGAGACUAUUACUUUUUUUUCAAAUUCCUAGAUUAAUUGGCAAUAUGACUAGCCACAGGUUUUCAGCAUCAUUAUUAAAGCUUCACUUUUAGGAAUUUCAACCCCAAAUGUUCUAAGACAUCAAGUAACUGACCUUUUCAUCCCUACCAAAAAAGCCUCAAUGUGGAGUUGUCAGCUAUCCUACAGGAAAUUGAGUCACCACACCAAACAACACACCUAAAUGUCGACAGCUAGCAGGACAAAAACAGUGAGCCAGUUUAAUUUUGGCUUUUACCAAGAACACAUACUGCAUUCAUUAAUAAAAUACUUUUCCUCCCAGAGAGUAGUAUGCACUGUGGCUCUCCUUAAAAUACAGGAAAACUCUUCUAUUUAACUGUCCCAAAUCUUGCUAAGUCAAAGAACUAAAGAGAAAAAAAAAAAUCCAAGCAAUAACUCUUGGUUAAAUUCCCUAAAGACUAGGAAAGGGCUAUGGAACAGCAACCAAGAAAUAACUUGAGCCUGGAAGUCCCCUCCUAUACAGCAUUGGCUUUCUUCAAGGCACCCUUGAACAGUGUAACACCCAUGUUCUGCUCAGGCUCUUUUGUGAACAAACAGUUCUCAAUUCUUGCAGGCCAGCACUUGGCUUCCGUCAUUGUGAUGGGCUCAAGGGUUCCCUUGACACAGGGCCUGAAACCGUUCCAGAAGCUUCAGGAGAAGAUGCUGAAGCAGCAGCUACCCUUUCAAAAGGAAAAACAGAAUCACCUCAGAGCCACAGCAAUUAGCUAGAGGCUGAGGUUAUUUUCUUGUGACAUGUUCAGCCCAUUACUCUCACCUACAACAUAAGAGUGCUGUUGGCCAUUGAGGUAAAAGGAUCCACUCUACAGGAGGUUUAACUGUGUAGAUGUUGGUUUCAUUGCCAACAACAUUUGAAGGUCUGCAUAAGGUUCUCAAUCCUAAAACAAUUACUAUUUUCCUAUCAUCAGCAUCAACCCUCAAUCAUUAACAAGUUCUGAACUGAAUGCCCUAGCUACCUGGACUUGGCAAUCUUCAUGACCUUGGAGAAAAAGUGAACUUUAUGGGGAACUUCAACUCCUGUGAAGACCACCAUCUUCUUCUGAAGCCUCAAACUCUACUCACACAGAGCUUUGGGGAGGAUUGCAUGAGAAGAGUCAGUGGCUUAUAAACUUUUUUUUUUUUAUCAGUGAACUACAGUAAAAAAUAUACUAUGACCCAGUAGAUUUAUUUAAAGUAGGAGGUACAAUGAAUACUAUUGUUAAUUUUGUUCAUUUUUGAAGGCAUGUGGAUGCUGAUUCCUAGCAGUAUAAAAAAUAUGUAGAAGAGUGUUUUGAUAUCUGUAAGUGUUUAAAAAGGGGUGGGAGUGUGGACUACUAAUAAAAGCAACUUCUGUGUGUUAUAUACAUAAUAGUCAUGACAAAAUUUGUUUAUAGUCUUUGUUUAACAAACCAUGCAUUUCAACUUCAAUGAAACCAACCAAAAACUAUUAUAUAUAUACAAUAUAAAGGAAAUCUAUAUAUAAUUGAAACAGUAUAUAACCACACACACACACAGAUAUAUAUUUGAUUCAGUAUAUAAAGAAUUGAAAUAGAACUUAACAUGAAAGUAUAUUUACCCUUUCUAUGUAUGAUUCACUCUGAUGUUUUCUAUUUUACUUAAUUUUAAAAAAUAUUGAUUGUGACAUGCCAAAUUGAUUUUGAAAUAUAUCAGUGAGUUUGAAAACACUCUGGUAAGACAUCACCUAGCUUAAUAAUUGUUGUUUCCCUCUUCUCUCUUCCACCCUUUUUGUAAUAAAAACUCUCUCUCUACUCCUGUACUUCAACUGAGAAUUAAAUAGA